CUCCUGGCAAAUGCGCCAAAGUGUCCAGCCCCACCCUCGCGACCUCUAACCUCUCCUCGGACGGGAAGACCGGCGCGUUCCACGCAUGCUCAGUACGUCCGCGCAGAUUUCUGAAGCUCGAAUCCCGCGUGCGUUGUGUACGGCCCAGUGGAACAAAAACAGAAGAAGGAAGCCUGCUGGCACAGGUAAAAGCUAAAUUCAGACUCGCUUUUUGCUCAGCAACCAAAGGGCCACCAUGCUUUAUGAUUUAUAGCAACCCCAUUAUCCCACAAGUGACACUGCAUUCCGCCUCCAGGGUCUAUGAUAAGAUCAUGGACGCAAGAGUUGCACAGGCUCCUCAACAGCUAACAGAAGCUCAACCUCAAGAAAAUGGAAUCCCAUAUUCCAACCUGGACAUUUAGUACUGGUAAAGUCUCUUCCCUCAUCAUCUCCUCCGCUAGGACCAAUUUGGGAAGGAUCAUGCACUGUGAUCCUGUCAACACCAUCAGCUGUCAAGGUAGCAGGCCUGGACCCCUGGAUACACCACACUUGACACAAGCCCUGGGAAGCAGAAACUAUUGAUAGAACCUUGACGGAUCCUCUGCAUCCAAGCCACAAAUGAGGGAAGAGAGACACACGGAGAAACCGAAGGAGAAUAUCACUUCUCUCCACACAUCACUGGUCAAGGCCAGCUACAGGACCCCACCAAGACAGCAGAAGCCAGGAAAAUGUCUGGCUAUAUGAGCAGGUAGAAGACAGCCUAAUACCAAGCACUGGCAGCCUUGGUUAUACAAGUUCCAUACAAGAACAAGAUGUAUUUUUAACAACAAACAUAUCAAAGCAAACACUGACCCCACCCUUCUACCCUUCUGCCACAUUAUGAUGUACCACAAGGACCCUCAGAAGCCAAGCAAAUGCCAGCACCGGGCCCUGGGACUUCCCCAUCUCCAGAGCCAUGAGACAAAAUGAACUUCUUUCCUAUAGGAUUUGCCCAGUGACUGAAACAGCUACUUUGUCCCUGUCCUCACCAUCUGGUGUCAGUGGGUUUUGCUCCAAUUAGAUUACUUGGGACUCCCAAGUGUCUUCCUUGUUGGGAAGGAACCACUCACUACCACCACCAUUCUCCUUACAGGUGAUAAUUUGAGUUGUUUUCCUUGAAUGGCCCUCCUUCCUCCUUCUAGCCAAUGUGGG
ensembl:lncRNA